GACGAACGCUGGCGGCGUGCCUAAUACAUGCAAGUCGAACGAACCGCGACUAAGUGCUUGCACUAAGUCAAGGUGAGUGGCGAACGGGUGAGUAACACGUGGGUAACCUACCUCAUAGUGGGGGAUAACAGUCGGAAACGACUGCUAAUACCGCAUAGGACAUAGGAUCACAUGAUCCAGUGAGGAAAGGUGGCGCAAGCUAUCGCUAAGAGAUGGACCCGCGGUGCAUUAGCUAGUUGGUAGGGUAAAGGCCUACCAAGGCGAUGAUGCAUAGCCGACCUGAGAGGGUGAUCGGCCACAUUGGGACUGAGACACGGCCCAAACUCCUACGGGAGGCAGCAGUAGGGAAUCUUCCGCAAUGGACGCAAGUCUGACGGAGCAACACCGCGUGAGUGAAGAAGGUCUUCGGAUCGUAAAGCUCUGUUGUUAGAGAAGAACAGCGCAUAGAGUAACUGCUAUGCGUGUGACGGUAUCUAACCAGAAAGCCACGGCUAACUACGUG
rnacentral:rRNA from 1 species